AACGGCCGUACCAUGCUGAAUAUACCGGUUCUCGUUAGAUCACCGAAGUUAAGCAUCGUUGUGCGCGGUCAGUACUUGGGUGGGUGACCACCUGGGAACACUGCGUGCCGUU
rnacentral:rRNA from 1 species